rnacentral:rRNA from 1 species
AUCCUUUGGUUUUGGGGAACUAGGAAUAUACGUGUCUUUCUUAUACAUGCUAGUGGAUGACGGUUAAAGAGGGGACAAAAUGUGCGAACAGGUGAGGAAACCCGAGAGCUAAGUUUUGGGGCGGGGCUGGAGUCGUAUUAGGUCGAAGGUGGUAUAAAAGACCACCUUGCCCAGGAUGCGUGGCUUUAAACUGGAAGCCAUCUUUUCACUGAAGCAAAGGGAGGGCUCAAAAAGGGAGCGAAAAGCUCCUGAGGCAGCAGUAUAUAACUUUAUGCAAUGUACGAAAGUGCGACAUAGAAGGGGCGUAUAACUUAAUCUGUCUAAUUAAGUGCCAGCAGACGCGGUGAAACUUAAGGAUUAGUAUUAUAGGAAAAAGCGUAAAGGGUGUGAGGGGCUUAUCCCAACAAGAGGGUAAAUGGAAUUUUUCUGUAGGGGUAGAAUGUGUAGAUAGAAAAAAGAACUCUAAACGCGAAGGCAAUUUAUCUCAUGGGUGGUACGCCAACUGCUCCGUUGUUACACGAAAGUAUGGGGAGCAAACAGGAUUAGAGACCCUGGUAGUCUAUAUUGUAAAUAAUGAAGAAGAUGUGAGGCAAUCCUAAAGGGUAAUAAAUUUUUCGCUUGAGUAGUAUGAUCGCAAGAUUUAAAUUCAAAAAACUUGGCUGCUCACUGCUAUGAUCAGAGGAGCGUGUCGUUUAAUUCGAUAGUCCGCGAGAGACCUUACCCAAACUUGAAUUCGCCCUUUAACAGGUAUUGCAUGGCCGUCGUCAAUUUGUGUAUUAAAUGUAAAACGGAUUCAACCCAGUGGUUGGCAACCCCUCGUCUUCGGAGCGGUGCCAUUAUUGGAUGAAGUCAGGUCUUAUUGUCCUAAUGUUUGGGGAUUAGAUGCGCUACAUUUUCUUAUACAAUGGGAGAUUUUGAAGGUGGAACCCUAAAGUAAGAGUUCGGGAGGUGGCUGGAAGAUAACUGAAAGUGGGAUUUGAUAGUAAUUAGAAAGUAGAGCGUUCUGGUGAAAUUGAUGCAGUGUUAGUACAAAUAGCCCGUCGCCUUGGUCAAGAAUGGGUACUCAAAUGCCCCCUGUUGUUGGGGUGUAGUGUAACUUUGAGAUGAAGUAAGUCGUAACAUAGGAACUGGCUCUUG